CCAUACAAUUUUACUUGCUCUUGCAGGAAUUUGAUGAGACCAGUGUUUGCAAAGAACAGUAGUACAGCUGAGUUGAAUUUGCACAAGUUCUUGGUCAGCUGCCCCCAAGGACAGAUGAAAGGAGACAGAGUGCCCAGCUUGACAUAAUUUGCCCUUUUUGCAGGUGGACGUCUAAAUGAUAAAUAAGUAGCUUCCACAGUUCUUUCACUCUGAAGAAUCAUUCUGACUACAGCUAAAGGCCAGAGCCUUCCUGUGUCACUCUUUUCUGCUACACAAGUCAAGAAAGCCAGAGAUUUCAUGACCUCAUCAUGUUUGCUUCAAGAGACAAAAAAAACUCCAUUAAAACCACAGUGAUGCUGUAUGCCAAGAAAUGGAUUAAACACCUAAAUCCUGGAGAAACUCCAUACUUGAUUGAAAACACGUAAGUUUUCGGUACCUUACAUGUCUUGCCCCCUAGUUCUAGGGGCUCUACUCAUUGCUUGAGAAAUAGGAUGUGUAGUUUGUCAAAAAGAAUAUGAAUUAUUCUGGAAUUAUUCUUUCAGCAGAAACUACACAGCCUGCUCAGCACCACUGUUUUUAUUUUCUUCCUACUUCCACUUUAAAUCCAGGUUGGAGUUCUUCCUGAGAUCAGCAUUAGUCAAAAGGCUCAUCAGAGUAAUACACAGGUUAGCCUUUAUGAAAAGGAAAGCUACAUAAUUUAUAGGUCUUUCUAGCAAAAAACAAGCUUGCACAUUCUAAGAAUAUUACCAAAAUUACACUAACAUGCAAAGUCAGUUUCCUUACUGUUUGGACAGAAGCUGCCUUCAGGGUCUCUGUAAGGAUGGAGUGUGAUAAUGGGCCGAUCAGCCGGUAUCUGAGAAUCUCCAUGCUCCUGUCACUGAAACAGGAAAGUUUCAGGUGGAUGUACAAUUUUACAACACACAUUAUUUUCCCCAGUACUGUUAAGCCAGAAAUGCAGCUAUGUUUUGUGGUUAUGGGCCACAGCUUCUGACUCAACUGUGAACAAACCUGAUUACAAUGCCAGUAGUCCGUGAGAUCCAAGAGUAGGACUGGAAUGGAUCUCUA